CCAGUCAGAAGAAUAUCUUGAAGAAUGAGUGGUUUUUUUGGUUUGGUUUUGGUUGUUUUGGUACCAGGGACUGAACUCAGGACCUUGCACUUGCGAGGCACGCAGCAUAACCACUGAGCUAAAUCCCUGGCCCAACUUUCUGCAUCUCUCUCUUGUUGGAGCAGGCUAAUGAUUGACUGCUGUCUUAGCCUUUUGUUGCUGGCAAGGUCCUGGAAGAAACUGAAAGUCUUUGAGCAACAAUGGAUUAAACUGCUUUAGGAAAUUCUGAGCUGAUGAACAUCAAAUUGGCAGGAGCUUUUAGCCUUUGGAGGAAACACUACAUUCAGAGGAACUAAAUGGACAUUUUCUAGACAGAUACUAAUGUGUGACAAUAAAUGCAUAGAAUAAAGAACGGAGUGUUUCAAACGAAUGUUAUGCUCAGUCUUCUGAGAUUGACUUUGAUGCCGUAUGCUAUAUUUCUCAUUGCAAAAUUUUUAUUUUUUCCAUUUUGUAUGUUUAUCAGUAGAAUGUCUUUAGAGAAACGC
ensembl:lncRNA